GGGUGAACAUGGGCUAUCUUUUUCUCUUCUCUCUCUUUUAUUUUCAGGUGGGUAGUAGAUACCCCUAAUUCUACUGUCGGACACUUGUCCAUUUUUACCUCUCAUCUCACUCUCUUUUUUUUUCUUUUCCGAGGUUCUGGGCACUUGCCCCUUUUUAUUUCCUCGUAUAUUUUUGCAUAACCCAUGCCUCUUCUACAUUGAAUCUUCUUAGAGAGAGAGUAUAACAAUAUUCGGGACAGUGAGUGAAAAUAUUUUUUAGCAAUUUCAAUGAUUGGUGAUGAAUGCUGUGGUAGAUGUGUGCAAGUGAGUAUCUUAAUUUAACCAUAUGAAAAGCUCCUAAGGGUCUACACAGCUCGAUCAAACUCAAUGUGAAUAUAGGAAAAGAUGUUAUAGUAAGUAUGGCUGUGGU
rnacentral:lncRNA from 1 species